GCCCAUGUAGCUCAAUUGGUAGAGCAACGGUAUCGUAAACCGUAGGUUAUCGGUUCAAUUCCGAUCAUGGGCUCAA
rnacentral:tRNA from 1 species